rnacentral:rRNA from 1 species
AGUAUAAAAGCUCGUAGUUGGAUCUGUGUCUAACGGCGUCGGUUCACCGCUCGCGGUGUAACUGGCGCGCCGGUUGGACGUCCUGCCGGUGGCGGUCCGGGCUUUCGAGUAUGUGUAGGUUCGCCGAAGCAUCUCGUUAGUUCCGGCCGCCGAUUCAAUCCCGCCGCGGUGCUCUUAACUGAGUGUCGAGGUGGGCCGGCACGUUUACUUUGAACAAAUUAGAGUGCUUAAAGCAGGCUGAUUUACGCCUGAAUACUGUGUGCAUGGAAUAAUGGAAUAGGACUUCGGUUCUAUUUUGUUGGUUUUAAGAAUCCGAAGUAAUGAUUAAUAGGGACAGGCGGGGGCAUUCGUAUUGCGACGUUAGAGGUGAAAUUCUUGGAUCGUCGCAAGACGUACCUAAGCGAAAGCAUUUGCCAAGUAUGUCCUCGUUAAUCAAGAACGAAAGUUAGAGGUUCGAAGGCGAUCAGAUACCGCCCUAGUUCUAACCAUAAACGAUGCCAGCCAGCGAUCCGCCAAAGUUCCUCCGAUGACUUGGCGGGCAGCUUCCGGGAAACCAAAGCUUUUGGGUUCCGGGGGAAGUAUGGUUGCAAAGCUGAAACUUAAAGGAAUUGACGGAAGGGCACCACCAGGAGUGGAGCCUGCGGCUUAAUUUGACUCAACACGGGAAACCUCACCAGGCCCGGACACUGGAAGGAUUGACAGAUUGAUAGCUCUUUCUUGAUUCAGUGGGUGGUGGUGCAUGGCCGUUCUUAGUUGGUGGAGCGAUUUGUCUGGUUAAUUCCGAUAACGAACGAGACUCUAGCCUAUUAACUAGGCGUUCCCGGUAUCCACAAUAGUGCUACCGGCGAAUAAAUUUCUUCUUAAAGGGACAGGCGGCUUCUAGCCGCACGAGACUGAGCAAUAACAGGUCUGUGAUGCCCUUAGAUGUCCUGGGCCGCACGCGCGCUACACUGAAGGAAUCAGCGUGUCUCCCCUGGCCGAAAGGUCCGGGUAACCCGUUGAACCUCCUUCGUGCUAGGGAUUGGGGCUUGCAAUUGUUCCCCAUGAACGAGGAAUUCCCAGUAAGCGCGAGUCAUAAGCUCGCGUUGAUUACGUCCCUGCCCUUUGUACACACCGCCCGUCGCUACUACCGAUUGAAUGAUUUAGUGAGGUCUUCGGACUGGUGCGCGGUGGCCGCCUUGUGUGGUCGCCGAUGUUGCCGGGAAGAUGACCAAACUUGAUCAUUUAGAGGAAGUAAAAGUCGUAAC